rnacentral:rRNA from 1 species
GUAGGGAAUAUUGGGCAAUGGAGGCAACUCUGACCCAGCCAUGCCGCGUGCAGGAAGACGGUCCUCUGGAUUGUAAACUGCUUUUGAAUGGGAAGAAACGUAGCUUUGCGAAGCUAUUUGACGGUACUAUUAUAAUAAGCACCGGCUAACUCCGUGCCAGCAGCCGCGGUAAUACGGAGGGUGCAAGCGUUAUCCGGAUUUAUUGGGUUUAAAGGGUGCGUAGGCGGCUUUAUAAGUCUGGGGUUAAAGGCGGCAGCUUAACUGUACGCAUGCCCUGGAAACUGUGAAGCUUGAGUGACUUGGAGGUAGCUAGAAUUACCUGUGUAGCGGUGAAAUGCAUAGAUACGGGGAGGAAUACCGAUUGCGAAGGCAUGUUACUACGAGUAAACUGACGCUGAUGCACGAAAGCGUGGGGAUCAAACAGGAUUAGAAACCCUUGUAGUCC